rnacentral:rRNA from 1 species
GGGGGGUGCAAGCGUUGUCCGGAAUUACUGGGCGUAAAGGGCGUGUAGGCGGCCUAUUAAGUCAGAUGUGAAAGCCCACGGCUUAACCGUGGAACUGCAUUUGAAACUGGCAGGCUUGAGUAUGAGAAGGGGUAGUGGAAUUCCCAGUGUAGCGGUGAAAUGCGUAGAUAUUGGGAAGAACACCAGUAGCGAAGGCGGCUACCUGGCUCAUUACUGACGCUAAUGCGCGAAAGCGCGGGGAGCAAACAGGGAUUAGAUACCCUGGUAGUCCGCGCCGUAAACGAUGGAUACUAGAUGUUGGUUGUUUUAUAACGAUCAGUGUCGCAGCUAACGCAUUAAGUAUCCCCGCCUGGGGAUACGAUCGCAAGGUUG